CUUUUGCAGCAACAAAGCCUCCUUAUGCUAGAUCGACAAUAUAGUUAUUUAAUGUUUAGAAGUAGGCUAAGUUCACAAUAAUAAUAAUAAUUAUUAUUAUUAUUAUUAUUAUUAUUAAGACAAUAACCGUAUACGUUUUGUUUUUAAAGCGGCUUGUUUUAUUUAUACAAUCAAAAAACAACAAUAAUCGUUGAAUAAUGAAUAGGCUUUUAGGGGUUUUCAACUAAAAUGUAUUAUGGAAAACGAUCCCGAUCGAGAAUGCUGGACACAAUAAGAAGUCAGCUGAGCGAUGAGGCUCGCCUAGGGCUUAGUGGCUUCAAAUCGUGGUAAUGGAGAAAUGGAGAUGUCACGUGCGCACAGAACUCAUACAGCGAGACAGCUCACAGAAGGAUCCAUAUGCUGGCGUCUUCAGAAGUUUGUUUCAGCUGCAAGAUAAUUUUGAAAUUCGUCGAGAAAUUUGGGAAGAUCUGCAGAGCCAAAGUUUAGAACAAGAUGGAAUAACAUUUGUGGAACUUCACCUCUGGUUAAGAGAGAGUGAACACCUGUCUAAAAAGUUGUCUCAGACCGUCUCUGACCUGACCAGUGUUUUGUAUUUCAAAGAGGCUGAGCUACAGUACUGGCAGUCUCAGGUAGCCCGUUUCCGUCGGGAGGCUCUGAGCCUGGCUGGAGGCAGCAACUCGCUGAAGGCCACCCUGAACCACCAGGAGUUCACCCUUGAGAGGCAGGCCAAGGAGCUGGCCGCCCUGCAGAAGGAGCACAUGCGCCUCCGGGAGGGGAUGGUGGAGGCCUGGAAGGAGAAAGGGGACCUCCUCCAGAGAUGGAUGGAGGAGAAGAAAGAGGAGGCGGCAAGGGUUAAUAAGUACAAUGACGCACAGGAAAGGUGGCGUCGGUUGGCCAGACGGCUGAAGAAACAACUUCGGGGAGAAACGGUCAAACCUUCGGAGCAGACGGAGAUUGACGUGACGAGUGGCGAAAAAGAAGCAGCAUUCAAACUAGAAUGAGUGACAGCAUUUAUUUUGUAACUUUUUUUCAUCUGUAACUAAUAUCGCUUAAAUAACUUGUUUUACAUUCGCAGUUUAAUGUGAGCACCAUUCCUAGAAGCACAAUCCGAACUCCACUUAAACAGCAACUAAAUAUGCACCUGAUGCAACUCUCUAUUGACUACAUUUAAUGUUGUUUAGAUGGACCGUUUUUAUUGAAUCAACAUGGGCAGGCAUCACUUGUGCAUCAAGCUUACAAACCAAACUAAUAAUUCAAGAUUAUAUGCACCUCCUGAUGACGUUGUAACAUGUUUGUGUUUGUGUAACCUUAUCGGAUUGGUUUUUAGUCCGAUAAGAUCUUAAAGUGAAUCAUGUUUUUUUUACUUUUUAGUGUGACUGACAAGCCUACAUUAUUAUAUUUUAAAAAGACUCGUGGUAGAUAUGCUAUAUAAAUAUAUUGUGUUAUCAACUUUUUUUUAAAAUAAAGCAAUGUGUAACGUGCG
ensembl:lncRNA